AGUGAACGCUGGCGGUAGGCCUAACACAUGCAAGUCGAACGGCAGCACAGUAAGAGCUUGCUCUUACGGGUUGCGAGUGGCGGACGGGUGAGGAAUACAUCGGAAUCUACUUUUUCGUGGGGGAUAACGUAGGGAAACUUACGCUAAUACCGCAUACGACCUACGGGUGAAAGCAGGGGAUCUUCGGACAUUGCGCGUUUGAAUGAGCCGAUGUCGGAUGAGCUAGUUGGCGGGGUAAAGGCCCACCAAGGCGACGAUCCGUAGCUGGUCUGAGAGGAUGAUCAGCCAGACUGGAACUGAGACACGGUCCAGACUCCUACGGGAGGCAGCAGUGGGGAAUAUUGGACAAUGGGCGAAAGCCUGAUCCAGCAAUACCGCGUGGGUGAAGAAGGCCUUCGGGUUGUAAAGGCCUUUUGUUGGGAAAGAAAAGCAGCAGGUUAAUACCCCGCUGUUCUGACGGUACCCAAAGAAUAAGCACCGGCUAACUUCGUG
rnacentral:rRNA from 1 species